CACGGUGGUAGUUUCCUCCGUGGCACGCUGGUUAUGCUUUCAAGGGAGCCUGACUCUGUCACAUAUACUAGAUAGGAACUGGCAAGGCUUGACAGGAGAUUGGUUCCCACAUGU
ensembl:snoRNA